AUUGAACGCUGGCGGCAUGCCUUACACAUGCAAGUCGAACGGCAGCGGGGGAGAAGCUUGCUUUUCCUGCCGGCGAGUGGCGAACGGGUGAGUAAUACAUCGGAACGUGCCCUGUAGUGGGGGAUAACUAGUCGAAAGAUUAGCUAAUACCGCAUACGACCUGAGGGUGAAAGUGGGGGACCGCAAGGCCUCAUGCUAUAGGAGCGGCCGAUGUCUGAUUAGCUAGUUGGUAGGGUAAAGGCCUACCAGGGCGACGAUCAGUAGCUGGUCUGAGAGGACGAUCAGCCACACUGGGACUGAGACACGGCCCAGACUCCUACGGGAGGCAGCAGUGGGGAAUUUUGGACAAUGGGCGAAAGCCUGAUCCGGCAAUGCCGCGUGUGUGAAGAAGGCCUUCGGGUUGUAAAGCACUUUUGUCCGGAAAGAAAUGGCUCUGGUUAAUACCUGGGGUCGAUGACGGUACCGGAAGAAUAAGGACCGGCUAACUACGUGCCAGCCGCCGCCGUAA
rnacentral:rRNA from 1 species